UACGGGGGGGGCAAGCGUUGUUCGGAAUUACUGGGCGUAAAGGGCUCGUAGGCGGUUUGUCGCGUCUGCUGUGAAAACCUAAGGCUCAACCUUGGGCUUGCAGUGGGUACGGGCAGACUAGAGUGCGGUAGGGGUGACUGGAAUUCCUGGUGUAGCGGUGGAAUGCGCAGAUAUCAGGAGGAACACCGAGUGGCGAAGGCAGGUCUCUGGGCCACUACUGACGCUGGAGAAGCGAAAGCAUCGGGGAGCGAACAGG
rnacentral:rRNA from 1 species